rnacentral:rRNA from 1 species
UACGGAGGAUGCAAGCGUUAUCCGGAUUCAUUGGGUUUAAAGGGUGCGUAGGCGGACUAUUAAGUCAGUGGUGAAAGCCUGCAGCUUAACUGCAGAACUGCCAUUGAUACUGAUAGUCUUGAGUUUGGUUAAGGUAGGCGGAAUGUGUAAUGUAGCGGUGAAAUGCUUAGAUAUUACACAGAACACCAAUUGCGUAGGCAGCUUACUGAGCCGACACUGACGCUGAGGCACGAAAGCGUGGGGAGUCAAACA